AUGGCGUCACUACCCAUCACGUACCUAGGCCUCCCAAUCACCACUAGUAGGAUUCAUUUAGUCCACCCGCAGUUCAUCCUAGAUAGGAUUCGUGCGCGCCUUGCUGGUUGGAAGGGCAGACUGAUGCAUAUCGUCGGUCGUAGGGUGCUCGUCCGCUGCGUCCUCUCCGCUAUGCCGACGUUCGCCCUCACGGUGCUGAGGGCACCAAAGAAGUUUUCCAAGGAGUUAGAUAAAGCCAGACGUCCCUUCCUCUGGGCACAAGACGAAGAAGCAACCGGGGGAAAGUGCAAU
rnacentral:rRNA from 1 species